rnacentral:rRNA from 1 species
UACGUAGGCAGCAAGCGUUGUUCGGAGUUACUGGGCGUAAAGCGUGUGUAGGCGGUGCUCUAAGUUUGGUGUGAAAUCUCCCGGCUCAACUGGGAGGGUGCGCCGAAAACUGGAGUGCUUGAGUGUGGGAGAGGAAAGCGGAAUUCCUGGUGUAGCGGUGAAAUGCGUAGAUAUCAGGAGGAACACCUGCGGUGUAGACGGCUUUCUGGACCAUUACUGACGCUGAGACACGAAAGCGUGGGUAGCAAACAGG